AUUACUUAAGAUGUUCUUGUUUAAUUUUAGUGGAUAAAGUUGUUAAAUCAAAUGGUUUCUUGCAUUUAAAAUUAUAUUCUGAGCAGAUAUUUUUUAAUGGUAGAAAUAACUUCUAUACUGUUAUGUAUAAUCUACCCGGUAUGUGUUUUCAUUAGAGUUUAUAUUUUCUUUUUAUAGUUCACCAAGUUGUUGAAUAUAAUAGAGGCUGGUUUAACAGCCAGUUGUUUUGAACUCGUAAUAAAUUGAAAAUUGCAGGAUGUAAAAUUUUGGUAUAAUGUACAUGAUUGGAAGCUGAUGAUUAUCAGGCAGUGCGGUAGCAAUGAGUCCGGUUUUCGUUUUUCUUUCUUCCUUUCCAUCAGCUGUAACUUGUAAUCCACAGUGUGCCUACUUCCAGCCUGCACACCAAAACACUUCACUACUCCCUGGGAUGUGCCUUUUCUAGGUUAGUUACAGCCCAAAAUAUAUGCAAUGACACAGAUUGUUUAAUAUUGCGCUAUACACAUAUCAAUCAAUAGAUAGCGCCACCUGGGAUGCUAACUGUAAAAAAAAAAAAAAGUCCAGAAACUAGCAAUAAAAAAUUUUCAUUAUAAAAUUGUUGGGCAUAGGGAUGGAAAAAGAUCAGAAACUGGAGAGCAUUUGGGAUGGGAGGAAAAUCUGCAUUACCAAUUCCUGUAUUCCACCACCUAACUUAUAUAUGUAUCCACCCUUUGAGUGGUUGAAUGUAGGAAUGGGUAAUGCAGAUUUUCUUCCCAUUCCAAAUGCUCUCCAGCUUCUGAUUUUUUUUCCAUCCCAACACCCAACAAUUUUAGAUUAAAAUUUUUUAUUGCAAGUUGGAUAGUAGAUUAAUUUUCUUAUUUAGUCAUUAUAAUUCAAUGAAGUAGCUUGAAGAGUUUCUGAGUUAGUAUCAUAUGGGUGUAUACAUUUUUGUAUGAAAACAAUUUUUCUUUUACCUAUUAACCUGUUUAUAUAUUAUUUCGAAACAGUUUCUUUCAUAACCGAUCUAGAUGUAUUUAUAAACUCUUUUCUGCUGUAGUUAUAGGAGCUAUAGGGCAGCCAUCUUCCCAUAACCUACUGCAGUAGGUGACAAAUAGUAAGAAAAAUGGAAGUUUUGAGCUACGGCACCAUUUGUCACCAUAAUGAAUAUAUGAAAGUAAUUCUUCGCCCCUCUUUUUUAAUUUGAGUUGACUGAAAUGACAAGUUUUAAAGUCUAAAGUAUUUUUUCAAUAUGCAUUUUAUACUAGCUAUAUGAAAUGCAUGCUCAAAUCUUUCUGGAAGGUAUGUAAAAGAUGUUUGCUAGUGUUGUAAUUUUUUUUUGUAUAUUAAUUUAUGCAUUCGAAAAACAUUUUAUAUAUGAUGCAUUAUAAUUUGUAAAUACUUGGGAUAUGAUGUAUAGAUAUGUAAAUAUUUAUAUUUUAAAUACAUCAUACAUAAAUGUACUUACACUUUAAUGGAUAGCUAUUUGAGUGUGUGUGUGUAUAAAGAUUUACGUAAAUAAAGAAAAAAGAGCAUUGUUAGUGAAUAAAUAAAGAAAAUACUCUACCAACAUGUGAGGCCUAAAUUGUAUUAUCUGCCUUUAUGACUUGGUUCUUUUUAACUACAAAAGCAUAUGUACAUUGUAUAACUAAUAGUAAUUAUCAUGUACAUUAGAUGACUGAAAGGUUAAGACAUAGUCUAUGAAAAGUAAAGAAUUUCAUAAUUUUGUUAUUUUCAGCUUAUAGAAUGUUCAGAAAUGUUAUAAUUGUGACAUGACAUUUAAUGUGUUAUACCUUUAUGUUUUAUAUUAUUCAGUGAAAGUUAGAUGUUAACACAUCAAAUUUAUGGGACUAGGUUGAUAACAAAUAAGAACAGCUGUACAAGGAUAAGUUUGAUAGUUUAUAGAGAUGUUUAUAUGUAAGUAAAGUACCUUUAAGAUCAAUUGGAAUAUAAAAACUGGAGAAACAUUCCAACAAACUUUAAAAAUUAUCACCUAAAAAAUUUUAGUAAAGAUUUGCAUGCCAAAAAUAGUGACUUGGAAUCAUGUAAUCAAAAUAUAUCUGGUGACAGGAUAUGAAAAUAAUUUCAACAAGAAUAAUGAAAUAGACUAAACUAAAAUUAAUUGAAUAAGUGAAAUUUUAGAUGUCAGAUAAAGUUAUGAAAACAACUAACUGAAACAUAAAUUCCACUAAGAAAAAAUUAAUUAUGUAUCCAGGAGAAUGAGGCAGGAAAAGAAGUACAUGCAUGCUAAAGUGUUGUAUGAUUUAUUACAAAGCCUACAUUUAUUACAGAAUAAAAUUAGGAAUUUAAUUCCUUACCCUCUAAGUUUAUUUCUACAUGUAUCUCUAAUAGUGUAACAAUUUAGAACCUGUUUUGACAUAUGAUGGACUAAAUAGUGAAAGUGCUACCAGCCUACUUAUUCCAACUUUUUCUGUACGCAUCUCUAGAAGUAAUAUGUUAGAACUUGUCUUACUGAAUAUGAAAGUGAGUGUUCCCAGCCUACUUAUUUUGUAUGCAUCUAAAGAAAAGUAAAAUGUUAUAAUUUGUUUACACUGGUGAUGGACUAAAUAGUGAAAGUGCUACCAGCCUACUUAUUCAGACUUUUCAGUAUGUAUCUGUAGAAGCAAUAUGUUAUAAUUUGUUUUGACUGGUGAUGGACUAAAUAGUGAAAGUGCUACCAGUCUACUUAUUCAGACUUUUUCUGUAUGCAUCUAUAGAAGUAAUACGUUAUAAUUUGUUUUCAUUGGUGAUGGACUAAAUAGUGAAAGAAUUACCAGCCUGCUUAUUCUGUCUUUUUCUGCAUGAAUCUAUAGAAGCAACAUGUUAGGUCCUGUUUUACUGAACAUGAAAGUAUUCCCAGCUUACCUAUUUUGACUUUUUCUGUAUGUAUCUGUAGAAGUAAUAUGUUAGAACCUAUUUUGAUUGAACACUGAACGUGUUCCCUGCUUAUUUAUCUAGUAAUUUUUGAAACAAAUUCAUAAAAUAGGGAUGGUUCAAAUUGCUGUAAGUGAAAACUAAUUCUGAGGUCAAUGUUUGAGCCAAAUGGCACUUAUCCUUCACUGGGAUCCUGAUAACAGUUGUUUGGCUAAUACAUUAAUUACGUAAAGCUUUUUUUCUUUGAGUAAAUUUAGUCAUUUCUCUGUAUAUUCAGAUUUGAUUGUAUUAUUGCAGAAUUUGUUUUCUUUUCUUGUUACUUUGUGAAUUGAGUUAGCUGUUUCAUAAGCAAUGAUUGGUAUUAGUUUCUCUUAAGAGAGCUUUGACAUUAUUAAAUAAUUUUAAUCACCCUUUGAAAACUUUUGAUACAAACCUGAGUUGUUCUCACAGAUUCCACUAAAACUAAAAGUGAAGUGGUAUUAAUAUGGUUUCAUUUAAUAUGGUUAGACAGUACUCAAGCAAUUCUAAACAAUGAAAGAUGAUUAAAAUAUCACCAGUAAUAUAUCUUACACAGCUAAGCCUAUGGGGCUAUUGAUACUGAAGUGUAGGUGAACUAAGAAUAACGUACUAGAUCUAAGCAAUGAAAGAUGAUUAAAAUAUCACCAGUAAUAUAGCUUACACAGCUAAGCCUAUGGAUUAACUGUAUGGGGCUAUUGAUACUGAAGUGUAGGUAAACUAAGACUAACGUACUAGAUCUUGUAAUAACUAAUAUGAUACAUGUAUGUCUUAACCAUAUAUAGGUACCCGAAUAAAAAAAUAAUUGGUAAUUUUAUUCAUUUGAUUUUUCUUUUAAACAGUUGAUGUGUAAACUAUCUUCUGUGAUAUGUAGACAUUCAUUUCAUUCAACAGCUUCAGUGAUUUAACUUUGGCUUUUGUAAUUCAUCAGUUGGAUACCUUUUCUAUUAUUAACAUUUUUUGCUAGCAUUUUAACAUAUUAGAUAUUGAUAUUGGAUUAUUAAAAUAAUUAUUUAAGGAUUGUGUUAUAUUCUGAGCCUUUAAAAUAUCACCAGUGACUUUGUUAUGCAUAUAAUUUUGCUUCAUGACUUCAAGUUAAUAUAGUUAUAAUUCUAACCCGUAAGUUCAAUUUAUAUUUGGUUCCCUUUAGGGGUGUAGUUAAAAUAAACUAGUAUUUUUUUCCUGGGUAUACCCAGAACUACAAUUUGGUCUUUGUGGGGAGGGGGGGGGGGGGUCUUUUUCCAAAAAUAUAUGGACCUUUUCUUCUAUAGAAAGUAUUUAAGUGAUUUACCUUCAAAAGAGAACAAAAACAAAGAGAAGCUUAGCUUACUUCUCAGUAAUAAGCUGCUGAAUUGUAAAUGUCAUGGGUAAAUCUUUGCAACUAAAAAAAUCAGAAGUGAACCUUUUAGACUCCUUAGAAUAUUGGGAUGACCAUUUGACCUCCUUUAACUAUGCCCCUGUUUGCUUGUUUGUUUUGCAUUACUUUGGUUUAAGCAUUCACAUGUAAAAAUACAAUAUUUAAACCAGUUGGCUAAUGUGAUGUCAUUCAUUGCUAUUUUUGCAGAAUUUUCUUAGACUUGCACUACAUUUCAGGUUAUUAUUGACCAUUGGGUUUAAACAUGUCUCACUAAAAUUUUUAUUUCCUCCAAUCAAAGUGAAGUUCUCUUGUUAAUGAAUUAUUCAUGAAAAUGGCAAUAUGCUGUAAAAUUAUUUAACAGGUUCCACUUUUUAGCAGUUUCAUCAUUUAAUAAAUUUAAAAUAUAAUACAUAACCUAAUUUUAUAUGUUAAAUUAAUAACACCACACUUUAAACCACAGUUUUGGUUUUUCUCUGCACUUCCUGUUAUAGUCUCAUUAGUAAACAGGAAGUUUAUAUCUGAAACAAAAGCUUUAUGCAAAAUCUUAGUCUAUUGUUGCUAUUUUUUUUAUUUACUUUACAUUAUUUAUAUGUAGGCUUUUCAUGUGAAAUAAGCACCAAUAAUAAAAACUGUUAAGUUUUUUACUACAUUUAACAGGUUUUUGCAUUGCUAGUAUGAUCAUUUCUAGUUUUUCAAGUAUAGUGCUUUUAUGAUAGUGCAGUGAAAAAUAAUGCAUAAACAGUUGAGUGCUUUAAAUCCUUAAGUUUAAUUUGCAUUUGGUUCCCUUUAGGGAUCUAAGUAAAAUAAUUUAGUAGUUUUUCAGGAGUGUAGCCAGUGCUACAAAGUGGGUUUUUUUUUUUCCCAAAAAAUAUGUACAUUUUCUUCUCCAAAAAGAACGUUUUAUAGUGAUUUACCUUAGCCUUAAUGAAGCUUGUAAAAUGAAAGUAUUCAAAACUUAAGAGAGUAAAAACAUGAUCAACAUGAAAAGAAAAUCAUAUAAAUUAUGUUCAUGUGAAUACAUCAUUAAAUUUUGCAGAUCUUCAAAUGAAUUAUUUUGUAAAAGUCAAAUAAAAAUUGGUUUUGUGAAUGCAUUAUUGCAGUUUGACAACUUUGUUUUUAUACAUAAAUUUUAUUUUGUGAGGAUCUAAGGAAUUGAUUUUCUAGGUUUCUAUUGGAGUUAAAGACAUUGUUAUAAUACAUAAAUCUUAUUUUUGUAAGAAUUAGAUAGAAAUUUAGUGUGUUGAUGCCAAGUCAAAUGUUAAGAAUUUUGUAACCAAGAUUUUUUUAAAGGAUUUACUACAAAAGUAGUUUAUAAACAAACUUCCAUUUCAUUGAGUGAAAAUUUAUGAACUUUGUACAUGAAAUUUUCAAUGAAUUUAUAAUACCAACAAUUUUGUAAGGGCAAAUAACUACCUACUAAAAGUUUUUCAAUGAAAUUCUUCAAGAUUUUCAAGUACAGUCAAACAAUCAACUUUUACAAUAAUCUAUAUGUACACAUAGUUAAAAAUAUCGAUAGAAGCAAAGGUAUUUUUACGUUAAUUUUUAACUUAAAUCAAAAUAGUUCUAAGCAUUAUUUUUCUCUCUCUCUUAGUAUAGAAGAUAACAUAGAUACAGUUUAGAAUUUUUUUGUGUAAAAAAAAAAUUCAAUUUGAAGAAACUAUCCAUGUGUCAUGCUGUCUUAAUACCAAGAAUUGUGAUGUUGACAACUUAGCCAUGUUUCGUUGGAGUUCAUGGUGUUAUUUUAGACAAAAUAGGAAUAAGUGUUAUGUUCAAAUUGGGGCAUUUCAAUGUUUUUACUGUAGGUAUUUUUUAUUCAACUAAAAAAAACAUACCAACAAUAAUUUUUAAAGACACGAAAACGUGAGUAAUUUUGCAAACUGUAUAUUUUUUAAUGUUAAUGUAGUUUACCAAAGUAUUUUUACGUGGUUACCAAACUCGAUAUGUAAUGAGAAAUUGAAAUGUCAUCAGAUUAUAUGGGACAUUUCAAGGUUCGUCAGGGUUUCUAUUUCAACUACACAUGCACAACUGAUGUUGAAGUGUAUAUAGUAGGCAAACAAGGUAAGGUGAGUUAUUAAGAACGUUGUCAUUAUAAAUUAAAGUGUGAGCUAAAAUUUGCAUUUACAAUGUUUGAUGUAAAUAGACUGGUGUUUUUUCGACUUUCUUUAAAUUUUGGGUUAGGUUUAACAAUGUUAUUUCGCAGAUUUAUAACAUUCCUAACAGAUUUCACGAGGGAGAUAAUAUAUUUCAUGAGAAAAAAAAACAUUGUUAUAGAAGAAAUGAGAAACUUUAGUUCAUGUAAUUAGGGUUUCAAGUGAUCAUAUCUAUGGAAGAGUGUAUAAAUUCGUAAUUUUUUAGUUUAUGUAAUGAAGAAAUACUUAGUUCUAUAGUAACUAUCGAUAUAUUUGUAGUGUUUUGAGGAUCAUUAAUUCCAUUUCUUCCGACAAAUGCAAUACAGGAACCUCCCUCUCAUCUCAGAUAUCAGUUUGAAUAUUUUUAAACUUCUCCCUACGUUAUGACUCCACUUACAUGAAAGUGUUAAGUAAUUAUUCUUUCUUGUAGUCUGGUGAUGUUAUCAUACUAUGUAAUUUGAACCGCAAGAAGUGUGUCCAGUCAGAUGAGACCUAGGGGAGGGGGAUUAGUGAUAGUUUGAAACAUCAACAGAUCACCGCUAUAUAAGGAGAGCUUGAAGUAAUUUAAACGAUUUUGACAAUUAAAAAUUAAUAAACGUUUCUUGUAGGUAAAAAAAAAAGCGUAUUUAAUAAAAUUGGCCCCCCUUCUGCCCCCCCCCCCCACACACUAAAUCUUUGCCUUCAACAUACUCCGAAUACAAAAUCAUAGAAAAUUGUUUUGUUGACCAUUAAUAUAGCGUUCUUAGCAAAAUUAUCAUCAUCUUGUUUUUUCAUGUGUUAAUAAAUUCACGUAAGUUUAUUGUAUACAUAUUUUCCAUCAAAAUAGAAAUUGUAUGUAAUUUCAUCGUUUGUCAAAAUGUUUUUUCCCGUUUCGUGAUACACGUUUGCAAUUGGUACACGUUUCGUAAGUAAAUUUGGAAUACGUUAUACAGAUAAAUUCACUUACAUAAAAAUUCGUGUCUUGGGUACGACUCUAAUAAAUACGUUAUUACAAGUCUAGUCUGAACAGGAUCUUUUCUGGUUGGUAGUGUCAUUAAACCAAACAUACACAGGUUUGUAAUUAAGUAUUCGAUAUCGUAGUUGAUAUAAUUAUCCGGUUAAAAAAGUAUCUUUUUUUUGUAUGUUGUAUCAAUACAUUUUUCAAGAGUAAAAAAAAAGGUGCGUUGAUAUUCUGGGCCUGUUGGUUGGUGAGAACAGAAAGAAGAAUAGAAGAACGUAGUAAAUUAAUGAGUGAAUAAAGAUUUAGAUGAGCAUGUACUAAAACAUGAAGUUUCACUUGUGAAACAGGACGCACUGAAUUCAAAGGUCCAUUGGUUUUUUUCCCACAACCGCAAAAACCUUGCUCGGACUUUGGUUGUAAUAGUCGCAGUCAAAUCCCACUAUUUGAUUAGAGUAGCCCAAGAGUUGGCGGUGGGUGUUGUUGACUAGCUGCUUUCCUUCUAGUGCAGGGGUUCUCAAACUUUUUUGCUGUCCUCCACCUGACAAUAUUUCGGCUUGUAACGAUCCCCCCCCCUCCUUCACACACACAAAAUGAUAGCAGAUUACUGUACGUACUCUGAAAUAUCAGUCAUUGGAAUAUAUUUUAUGAUCUCGCAGGUCCUUGAGAGGUGAGACCCCAGUUUGAGAAACACUACUCCUGUGUAUCGGUUCAAAAUCAGAAACGGAUAGCUAGAUAGUUUUCACGAGGCUGCGCGAAAUUUCGAAACAAAAAUGCGCACGUGAAACAUUGUGUAGAAUGAGUUUUAGUCAUCAGAUAUUAUUUUGUUCUUGUUAUAGAGUUUUUGGAAUGGAGGUUAUUGUUAAAUCACAUUUGUGUAUCAAAAUUUCUUCAAGUUCUCAAUUUGUUUUCUUUUUUUUUAAAUAAGUAAUGGUACAAUAAGAAAGUAUCUACUUAAAGAUUUUAUAUAAUAUAAACAAACACUUUUUAGUGGCAUCUUUAUAUGAUACUUUUAUGUAACUACUGGAAUCUUGUGUGAAAUAUAUACAAAAAUAUUAGUAUUUAAUUGUAACUGAUAAUCCGUGAAAAGGUUGAGUAAAAUAUAUAGAACCUGGAAUACUGUCAUUUCAUAGUCAACAGAUCUUUAAUGAUGUCAUUUUAAUUAACAAUUCUGAUAAAUGAUUCCAGAAUUAUCUGUAUAAAAAGUUUUGAGAAAUAAAAGUUAAAAGUGUA